rnacentral:rRNA from 1 species
UACGUAGGGUGCAAGCGUUGUCCGGAAUUAUUGGGCGUAAAGAGCUCGUAGGCGGUUUGUCGCGUCGGCUGUGAAAACUCGGGGCUCAACCCCGAGCCUGCAGUCGAUACGGGCAGACUAGAGUGCGGUAGGGGAGACUGGAAUUCCUGGUGUAGCGGUGAAAUGCGCAGAUAUCAGGAAGAACACCCGUGGCGAAGGCGGCUCUCUGGGCAACAACUGACGCUGAGGAGCGAAAGCGUGGGGAGCGAACAGG